AUGGCAAUUUCGUCGUAAUAUUUUUUUUUCUCGUUUUCGUUUUCAUUUUCAUUCGUUCGUCAUUAGUCAUUGUGUGUGUGUGUGUGUGUGUUUGUCUAGUUUUGAGUUUGUUUCCGAAGAUUUGUUUGACUUUCUUCGAUCUGAUUGAAUAACGAUUGUGUGUGUGUGUGUGUGGUGGUUGGUUUGAGUGUGUGUGUAUGUGAAUGAAUUGUAUUGUUUUGAUUGAUUGAAUGACGAAAAUGUAUUCUUAAUAUUUAAAAUUGAAUGCACAUUCUUGAUGAAUUAUAUAAUUCUCAAGAUGAAUCACGAUGAAAAUGAUGAUUUAUUGAUAAUUUGCUGACCAAUACCAAUACAACGAAAUACAAAAAAAACAAGAUCAACAACAACAACGACGACGGCCAAAAACAAAAAUUUGAUACAAAUUCAAAGUCUCGAAUAUUAAUUGUGAUCCAACAACAAAACAGAGACUUUGGUGUCGUCCGAAAAAAAACAACCAAAGGAUAGUGAAGAGAAGCCUAUUCGAAAAGUAAUGAAUUGAUUGUUCGGAUUCGGAACGAUUCAAACGGAUUGAAUCGUGGUAGCCAAUAGAUCAAUCGAAUGGAAGUGAAAAAUCGAAUCAACAACAUUCGGGAAGAUUUUCGUUUGUCGUUGUUGUAUUUGAGCAAGAAAAAAUUAUAACAAUUUCUUUUCGGUCCUCACUUAUCGUUGUAAUUUCAUUUGAAAAAAAAUAAAAGAAAAGUUUUGGCCAUCAAAUUUUCGUUUGCUAGAACCACCCAACAACCACAACACCACAAAAAGGCAAUUUUUUGCUUCGAAAUAUCAAGAUCUCCAACCAAUCAAAAUAUUGAUUGUAUUUUGAUCUACAUCCUAGAAUCUCUCAACAUGAGUUGUUUUUAUAUAAAGAGAAAAUGAAUUUAGAAAUUUUUUAAUCAUUAAAAUGUAUGAUUGAUAAAGAUUGAUUCAUCUGGAUCGGAUGUAAUAACAUCGUUUGAUUACGUUUAGCUUGAAGAU